rnacentral:misc_RNA from 1 species
GUGAAUCAUCGAAUCUUUGAACGCACAUUGCACCUUCUGGUAUUCCGGGAGGUAUGCCUGUUCGAGCGUCAUUACAACCCUCACGCCUGGCGUGGUAUUGGACUCGCUGUCACAGCCUGUCUCAAAGUCAGUGGCGGCGUCGUUGAACCCCUAAGCGCAGUAAUGCUCGUCGCUUUUGGGCGCUCAGCGCAGUUUGCCAGGAACUCCCAAUUUUUCUAGGUUGACCUCGAAUCAGGUAGGGAUACCCGCUGAACUUAAGCAUAUCAAUAAGCGGAGGA